CGUGCGAUACAGGGUGACAGCCCCGUACACAAAAAUGCACAUAUUGUGAGCUCGAUGAGUAGGGCGGGACACGUGGUAUCCUGUCUGAAUAUGGGGGGACCAUCCUCCAAGGCUAAAUACUCCUGACUGACCGAUAGUGAACCAGUACCGUGAGGGAAAGGCGAAAAGAACCCCGGCGAGGGGAGUGAAAAAGAACCUGAAACCGUGUACGUACAAGCAGUGGGAGCACGCUUAGGCGUGUGACUGCGUACCUUUUGUAUAAUGGGUCAGCGACUUAUAUUCUGUAGCAAGGUUAACCGAAUAGGGGAGCCGAAGGGAAACCGAGUCUUAACUGGGCGUUAAGUUGCAGGGUAUAGACCCGAAACCCGGUGAUCUAGCCAUGGGCAGGUUGAAGGUUGGGUAACACUAACUGGAGGACCGAACCGACUAAUGUUGAAAAAUUAGCGGAUGACUUGUGGCUGGGGGUGAAAGGCCAAUCAAACCGGGAGAUAGCUGGUUCUCCCCGAAAGCUAUUUAGGUAGCGCCUCGUGAAUUCAUCUCCGGGGGUAGAGCACUGUUUCGGCAAGGGGGUCAUCCCGACUUACCAACCCGAUGCAAACUGCGAAUACCGGAGAAUGUUAUCACGGGAGACACACGGCGGGUGCUAACGUCCGUCGUGAAGAGGGAAACAACCCAGACCGCCAGCUAAGGUCCCAAAGUCAUGGUUAAGUGGGAAACGAUGUGGGAAGGCCCAGACAGCCAGGAUGUUGGCUUAGAAGCAGCCAUCAUUUAAAGAAAGCGUAAUAGCUCACUGGUCGAGUCGGCCUGCGCGGAAGAUGUAACGGGGCUAAACCAUG
rnacentral:rRNA from 1 species